AGAAAGGAGAAAGAAAGUGGGGCUGAAAGCGUGGAGCUUGAAGAAAUAAUGGCUGAAAACUUCCUAAAUUUGGUGAAAUACAUAAACCUACAGAUUCAAGAAGCCAAUUGAACCUCAAAUAGAAUAAAGUCCCUGCCAAGACACAUCAUAAUCAAACGUCUGAAAACUAAAGACAAAAGCAUCUUAAAACCAAAGGAACAAAAUGAAAAAAGACAUUAAUUAUAGGAAAGCACCCAUUUGGAUUUCUCAUAUGGAACAAUGGAGACCAGAAGGAAGUGGUACCACAUUUUUCAAGACAAGAAAUCCAAAUUGGAGUUUUCCAUAGGUCAGCAGAAGACUCAAGGGGGAUGGAUCACAAAUUAAGUACCAGUGAUUACAGUCGAAAGGCUGAGCGGUCAGUUAUAAAUGGGAUCAUCUGGAUUUUG
rnacentral:lncRNA from 1 species